rnacentral:rRNA from 1 species
UACGUAGGGUGCGAGCGUUAAUCGGAAUUACUGGGCGUAAAGCGUGCGCAGGCGGUUUUGCAAGCCGGAUGUGAAAUCCCCGGGCUCAACCUGGGGAAUGGCAUUCGGGACUGCAAGGCUGGAGUGCGGCAGAGGAGACUGGAAUUCCUGGGUGUAGCAGUGAAAUGCGUAGAUAUCGGUAGGAACACCAGUGGCGAAGGCGGUUUCCUGGAGCCCACUUGACGGCUGAGACGCGAAAGCUGGGGGAGCAAAACGGGG